rnacentral:lncRNA from 1 species
AUGGUACACUGCUUUGCUUCGAGCUCUGCAGGCCGCACUGCAGCACAUUGCAUUGACUGCAAUGACUUUCUGCAUCCUGAAAGCAAAGCUUUGAACACAAAGGUGCAUUUGGAGCAAGAAAUUGGGAGUGAAAUGGUACAUUGCUUUGAUUUAAGCUCUGCAGGCCACACUUCAGCACAUUGCAUUGCCUGCAAUGACUUUCUGCAUCCUGAAAGCAAAGCUGUGAACACAAAGGUGCAUUUGGAGCAAGAAAUCGAGAGUGAAAUAGUGCAGCGCUUUGCUUCAAGCUCUGCAGGCCACACUGCAGCACAUUGCAUUGCCUGCAAUGACUUUCCACCUCCCAAAAGCAAAGCUUUGAGCCCAAAGGUGCAACUGGGGCAAGAAAUUGGGAGUGAAAUGGUACAUUGCUUUGCUUCAAGCUCUGCAGGCCACACUGCAGCACAUUGCAUUGCCUGCAAGGAUUUUCUGCAUCCUGAAAGCAAAGCUUUGAACACAAAGGUGCAUUUGGGGCAAGAAAUCAUGAGUGAAAUGGCUCAGAGCUUUGCUUCGAGCUCUGCAGGCUGCACUGCAGCACAUUGCAUUGACUGCAAGGACUUUCCACCUCCCAAAAGCAAAGCUUUGAGCCCAAAUGUGCAUUUGGAGCAAGAAAUUGGGAGUGAAAUGGUACAUUGCUUUGCUUCACGCUCUGCAGGCCACACUGCAGCACAUUGCAUUGCCUGCAAGGGCUUUCCACCUCCUGAAAGCAAAGCUUUGAACACAAAGGUGCAAUUGGGGCAAGAAAUUAGGAGUGAAAUGGAGCAGUGCUUUGCUUCAAGCUCUGCAGGCCACACUGCAGCACAUUGCAUUGCCUGCAAUGACUUUCCACCUUCUGAAAGCAAAGCUUGGAACACAAAUGUGCAUUUAGGGCAAGAAAUUAGGAGUGAAAUGGUACAUUGCUUUGCUUCAAGCUCUGCAGGCUGCACUGCAGCACAUUGCAUUGCCUGCAAGGGCUUUCCACAUCCUGAAAGCAAAGCUUUGAACCCAAAGGUGCAAUUGGGGCAAGAAAUCAGGAGUUAA